GGGCAAUCUACUCGGCUCCUCUUCCACGCUGUGGAGGCUUUGUUCUUUCCUUCUUCACAAUAGAUCUUGCUGCUGCUCACUCUGUGGGUCCGCACUACAUUUAUGAGCUGUAACACUCACUGCGAAGGUCUGCAGCUUCACUUCUGAAGUCAGCAAGACCACGAACCCACCGGGAAGAAAAAACAACUCCAGACGCACCACCUUUAAGAGCUAUAACGCUCACUGCGAAGGUCUGCGGCUUCACUCCUGAAGUCAAGCGAACCCACUGGAAGGAAGAAACUCAGGAACAUCUGAAGGAACAAGCUCCAGACACACCAUCUUUAAGAACUGUAACACUCACCACGAGGGUCCGUGACUUCAUUCUUGAAGUCAGCGAGACCAAGAACCCACUGGAAGGAACAAUUCCGGACACACUGAAAAGGCAAGUGACACACAGAAGGGAAGCAACUUAUCCAAGAUCUCAAUUGUUAGUGGAAGAAGCUGGCUGUCAACCGAAGUCAGUGUGAGAUGACCUCAGGCUCUUUUAACAUUGAAGAUAUAAAGAUAAACAAGAUAGACAUAAAGUGUCUGGCCUCAUGAAGUUCUGCUAGAAGAGAGAAGCAUAUACAAAUAAAAUAAUAAAAAGGUAGUUAAAAAUGUGAUACCAGAUCUGUGAAGAAAAUGAAAGGGAUAUUGUGUUAAUAAAUUGCAGUAGGAAGAUCAUUCUUGAAUGAUCCAGACACAUCAUGAGCUUUUCAUCCUGACGAGAUUAGUGAAAAAGCCCAAGAAAGAAGAUGACCAAGAAGGAAACAAAAAGGGUUUGAUGUUUUAAGGAACAGAAUGAAGCCCUGUGAAUGAUAUAAAAUGAGAUGGGAGACCAGGCAAGAAAUCUACUUAUGUGAGUAAAUGGAGAUCAUGGUUUGGAGUUUGGAUUUUACUCUAACCAAAACAGGAAUUCAUUAAAAUUGGAUAUCCAUAAGCAGAAGAAGGAAACAGGGCUCCUACCUCUCAUCACAUACAAAAAAUCAAAUAAAAAGGGACGGAAGACUUAAAUAUAAGACCCAAAACUAUGAAACUACUAGAAGAAAACAUAAGGGAAACACUUCAGGCCAUUGGUCAGGGGAAAGCUUUUAUGAAGAAGACCUCAAAAACACAGAAAACAAAAAUAGACAAAUGAGAUUAUAUCAAACUGAAAAGCUUCUGCACAACAAAGGAAAUAAUCAACAAAGUGAAGAGACAACACACAGAAUGGGAGAAAACAUUUGCAAACUAUUCAUCCGACAGGGGUUAAAAACCAGACUAUACAAGAAACAAACAACUCAACAGCAAAAAUAAAUAAAUAAUAAUAAUAAUAAUAAUCUUGCCUGUAAUCCCGGCACUUUUGGAGGCCAAGGUGGGCGGAUCACGAGGUCAGGAGAUCAAGACCAUCCUGACUAACGCGGUGAAACCCCGUCUCUACUAAAAAAAAAAAAAAUGCAAAAAAUUAGCCCGGCGUAGUGGCAGGCGCCUGUAGUCCCAGCUACUCGGGAGGCUGAGGCAGGAGAAUGGCGUGAACCCAGGAGGCGGAGCUUGCAGUGAGCGGAGAUCGCGCCACUGCACUCCAGCCUGGGCGACAAAGCGAGACUCCGUCUCAAAAUACUAAUAAUAAUAAUAUCAUCAUCAUCAUCUUAUUUUAAAGUGAGCAAAUAAGCUGAACAGACAUUUCUCAUAAAAAGCGAUACAGAUGGCCAAGAAGCCCAUGAAAAAAUGUGCUACAUUAUGAAUCAUCAGGAAAAUGCAAAUCAAAACCACAAUGAGAUGUUAUUUCAUCCCCAUUUGAACGGCUAUAAUCAAAAAGACCAAAAAAUAACAAAUGCUGGUAAGGAUGUGGAGAAAAGGGAACUCUUACAUAUUGUUGGUGGGAAUGUAAAUUAGUUCAUCUAUUAUGAAAAAUGGUAUGAAGGUUCUUCAAAAAACUAAAAACAGAACUAACAUGUGAUCCAGCAAUCCUGUUACUGGGUAUGUAUCCAAAAAAAAAAAAAAAAAGGGACAUAAGUAUGUCAAAGACAUAUCGCUACUCCUGUGUUGAUUGCAGCACUAUUUGCAAUAGCCAAGAUAUGGAAACAAUCUAAGUGUCCAUCAAUGGAUGAAUAGAUAAAGAAUAGUGAAAUAUAUAGACACAAUGGAAUACUAUUCAGCCAUAAAGAACAAAAUCCUGUCACUUGAAGGAACAAGAAUGAGCUUGGAGGACAUUAAGUGAAAUAAACUGACUAAAAAUAAUAAUAAAAGCAAAAAAGAAAGACAUACCACACAUUCUCAUUCAUGUGGAUUAUAACAGCUGAUCUCAUAAAAGUUAAGAGUAGAAUAGUAAAGAGUAGAAUAGAUUACUAGAGGCUGGGAAGGAUAGUGGGGAGAGGGCAUAAGCAGAAAUUUAUUAACGGAUGCAAAAUUGCAGCUAAAUAGGAUUAAGUUCUAUUACAGUCACCCUACAGUGUUUUAUAGCACUGUAAGAUGACUAUAAUGAACAAUUUACUAUAUAUUUUCAAAUAGCCAGAAAAUCGGAUUUUGAAUGUUCUCAACACAAAGAAAUAAUAAAUGUUUGGAUGGAUAUGCUAAUUACCCUAAUUUGAUCAUUACACAUUGUAUACAUGUAUCAAAAUACUACACUGUACCCCCAUAAGUAUGUACAAUUGUUCUGUGUCAACUAAAAAUAAUAAUAAAAGCAAAAAAGAAUUCCUCAAAAAAAAAAAAACCACAAACAGGAAUCCAUUGAAGGGGUCUAAAUAUGGUCUCUGGGCCAGGAGGUGAACAGACUGCGGGGAGAAAAGUGAAAGUAGGAGUACCAACAGGAGGCCACUGCCAUUGUGAAGGCCAUGUAGAGGAGACAGGUGGACAAUUUAAGAUGUAUUCUUGAGGUAAAGCAGACAGUGCACCUUUCAAGUAAAUGCGUGAGCACCAUGAUGCUGAGAAGCUAUUUUCCCAGUGAACCAGGAAGUGAGGUAGGUAGAUGAGUCACCCAAGCGGGUGGGGAAGGAGGUGGUUGAAAUUGAUUUGUAUAUUUAUUUUAUAAAGUAAAUGAAUUAAGAGAAAAAAAUUGGAUCCUGAAUCUGAACUUAUUUACAAAUUAUUAUACCUUACCAAAAAGGUCUUUUAUGGACAAUACUAUAAAGACGGUAAUGUUUACUUUUAGCAUUACCAUCCACACCUUUAAAAUUAUUAAUAAUUUGUGAGAGUUUGCUGUAUACUAAGUACCCU
rnacentral:lncRNA from 1 species